UAGCUCAGUUGGUAGAGCACCUGCUUUGCAAGCAGGGGGUCAGGGGUUCGAACCCCCUAGUCUCC
rnacentral:tRNA from 1 species